AAGUGGUAAAGGAGGUGGGAGUGCAUAGACAAUCAGGAGGUUUGCUUAGAAGCAGCAAUCCUUUAAAGAGUGCGUAAUAGCUCACUGAUCGAGUAAACCUGCGCCGAAAAUGUACGGGACUAAGUAAUUUGCCGAAACUGUGCGAUAUAUGAAAUAUAUCGGUAGGGGAGCGUUCUGUUGUAGGUUGAAGUAUUAGCGGAAGCGGAUAUGGACGAAGCAGAAGUGAGAAUGUCGGCUUGAGUAACGAAAAUAUAGGUGAGAAUCCUAUACCCCGAAAACCCAAGGUUUCCUCCGGAAGGCUCGUCCGCGGAGGGUAAGUCAGGACCUAAGGCGAGGCUGAAAAGCGUAGUCGAUGGACGACGGGUUAAUAUUCCCGUACCAUUCUUUGUUGAUAUCGAGGGACGGAGAAGGCUAAGCUGGCCGGAUAUUGGUUACCGGUUUAAACGUUCGAGAUGAUGAGAAACGGCGAAAACGUUUUGAGUUGAGGCGUGAAUACGAGAUGCUACGGCGUCGAAGCAGUCUAUGUCAUACUUCCAAGAAAAGCUUGCACUGUCAUAAACAAAGAAUGCCUGUACCAUAACCGACACAGGUGGGUAGGUAGAGUAUACUAAGGGGCGCGAGAUAACUCUCUCUAAGGAACUCGGCAAAAUGACUCCGUAACUUCGGGAGAAGGAGUGCCUUAUUUAUAAGGUUGCAAUAACAAGAUCCAAGCAACUGUUUACCAAAAACACAGGUCUCCGCUAAGUCGUAAGACGAUGUAUGGGGGCUGACGCCUGCCCAGUGCCAGAAGGUUAAAGAAGUUGGUUAGCAUGCGCGAAGCUGGUAACUGAAGCCCUGGUGAACGGCGGCCGUAACUAUAACGGUCCUAAGGUAGCGAAAUUCCUUGUCGGGUAAGUUCCGACCCGCACGAAAGGCGUAAUGAUUUGGAGGCUGUCUCGGAGAGGGACUCGGUGAAAUAGACUUGUCUGUGAAGAUGCGGACUACCUGCACCAGGACAGAAAGACCCUAUGAAGCUUUACUGUAGCUUGGUAUUGUGCCCGGGCUCUGUAUGCGCAGGAUAGGUGGGAGGCUUUGAUCCAUUGCUUGCGGGUGAUGGUGAGCCAACGGUGAGAUACCACUCUGUCAGAGCUAGAAUUCUAACCUUCAGCCAUUAUCUGGCGAAGGAACAGUUUCAGGCGGGCAGUUUGACUGGGGCGGUCGCCUCCCAAACGGUAACGGAGGCGUACAAAGGUUUCCUCUGAACGAGUAGAAAUCGUAUCUAGAGUGUAAAGGCAUAAGGAAGCUUGACUGUGAGACCUACAAGUCGAGCAGGCACGAAAGUCG
rnacentral:rRNA from 1 species